CAUGGGCUGUAGUCUAUCAGGCCCCUCUGUCCAUGGGAUUCUCCAGUUACGCAGUUUAUCCAUCAUACUGCCCCGAUACACUCCUCCGUUCACCCGAACUCUCUGGGCAGCAUCCCACUGUUCACCUCGACUCCACUCAGGACCGCCAGGAUGAAGGAAAUGCCCUCUGAAGUUGAAGAUGGGAGCCUUCAGGUCAGACGUAUCAGAGCCCCAAGGCAGUGGGCGGAAGCUGUGAGUGUCAGGUCAGGAUGCUGGACCGUCUCCAGGGCUUCCUGAAGGUGGGUGUCAGAGGCUGGCAGUCACUUCUGUGAAGUGUUUGGACUUCCCACAGUAUCAGAUGUACUCACAAUGAAAGAACCACAGGGUACACCAAAGUCAAGCUGUA
ensembl:lncRNA